rnacentral:rRNA from 1 species
GAUGAACGCUAGCGGCAGGCCUAACACAUGCAAGUCGAGGGGUAGCAGGAUUAAGCUUGCUUAAUUGCUGACGACCGGCGCACGGGUGCGUAACGCGUAUGCAACCUACCUUAUACUGGGGUAUAGCCCGGAGAAACUCGGAUUAAUCCCCCAUAGUACUAAUGAAUCGCAUGGUUUAUUAGUUAAAGCAUUGCGGUAUAAGAUGGGCAUGCGUCCUAUUAGCUAGAUGGUGAGGUAACGGCUCACCAUGGCUACGAUAGGUAGGGGGCCUGAGAGGGUGGUCCCCCACACUGGUACUGAGACACGGACCAGACUCCUACGGGAGGCAGCAGUGAGGAAUAUUGGUCAAUGGGCGCAAGCCUGAACCAGCCAUGCCGCGUGCAGGAAGAAUGCCCUAUGGGUUGUAAACUGCUUUUAUUUGGAAUAAACCUCUUUACGUGUAGAGAGCUGAAGGUACCAAAUGAAUAAGCACCGGCUAACUCCGUGCCAGCAGCCGCAGUAA